UACGAAGGGGGCUAGCGUUGCUCGGAAUUACUGGGCGUAAAGGGCGCGUAGGCGGCACUGUUAGUCAGGCGUGAAAGUCCUGGGCUCAACCUGGGAACUGCGCUUGAUACGGCAGAGCUAGAGGAUGGAAGAGGCUCGCGGAAUUCCCAGUGUAGAGGUGAAAUUCGGAGAUAUUGGGAAGAACACCGGUGGCGAAGGCGGCGAGCUGGUCCAUUACUGACGCUGAGGCGCGACAGCGUGGGGAGCAAACAGG
rnacentral:rRNA from 1 species